CAGACUCCUUUUGCAACACUGCUCCGGGUCUAAGAAUACUUUGGUAAGGUCUGCAAUCUGAUGCCAAACCAUGAUUGCCAAGUGUAUUCCAGACAACGCCAGAAUGUCAUUUACCUUUAUUCAGUUAUGAAAUGACAAGAGGUGUCUUUCCAAGUCUAUCCAUAAAGCUCUCAUUGUUCUUGUC